UGGAACGCUGAAAAUAUACAUUUUGCUCUCUAAUUUAUAAUCAUCUAAAUUUACAACAUAAGUUCUCUGCAACAAACACUCAGGGCAGAAAGAAUGUGGUGUUUGACGUUUUGAAUGAAGUGACUUUUUGUCCCAAUAUGAAAAUAAAGGGCUCAUCAUAUAAACAAUCAUACCUCUUACCUAAGAGGAAAUGUGCACAAUAACUACUACUACCUACCAAAGGCAAUCCUCCAACCCGUGGAGUAAUAGAAGUCUACCUAAGACUUAACAAAAUACCAUGUCUACCAAAGACAUUAUCCUGUGAAAAUCCCCUUUAAAAAUUUUAAAUAGUGAAAAACCCCAUUACAAAUGCAAUGUGUGGGGGAUGGGAGAAGCAGGUAAAGAAGGACUUUAAAGAUCCCCUUACCUGUCAUCUCCGUUCCGUCCAACUGCACCCAAAAACUUCUGACACCAAUUUGUUGGGGAUAAAAUCAGCCUGGGCCCUUUGUGGAUGAUGGAUAUUUGCCAACUCAUACAGAGCUCUGGAAAUUGGAAAUGAAUAGCAGAGACGUGUUCAAUAACCAAUUCAAAUUGUAUUCAUACGUCAGUUAUAUUUAUAACCCAUUUUCAUAGCAGGAUGGGAGGGGGAAAAAUGACCAUAUGGGCGUGACAAUGACAUUGUUUUUCACAAGUUAUAAACAGCUGUUU